GUAUACAUACAACAUGAUUUAUUUUCCUAUUUACCUAGUACUAGCCAAAUGUGCAUGUAUAUUGCCAUUAUGAACAAACCUGUGAUUAACAUCUUUGUAUCAAGAUCUGCCUCUACUUUGAACAGUUUCCUCAUUGCCAAUAUUAUUUUUAAAUAAACAGGUAAAUUGACACAUACACAUAACACACCCAAAACUGGCAAGUAGCAGACAAGUGCUCUUCUAAUUUCAGUUUCUUAGCUUUCAUGUAGAAUGAACAAUUACAAUAAUAAAGGCUGAAAGAAAACAAAGGUAUUAUUGAAAUACAACAGGGACAAUCUAAAGCAACAUGAAAAAGCAAGUUCAUGCUGCUCAACAUUAGCAGGCAAGGGAAAUAG